GACGAACGCUGGCGGCGUGCUUAACACAUGCAAGUCGAACGGAAAGGCCCCCUUGUGGGGUAACCGAGUGGCGAAAGGGGGAGUAAAAAGGGAGUAGCCUACCCUUGCCUUUGGGAUAAAUUCAGGAAAAUGGGGCUAAUACCGGGUAGGAGCUCCUGCUGCAUGGGGGGGGUUGGAAGGUUUCGGCGGUUGGGGAUGGACUCGGGGCUUUUCGUCUUGUUGGGGGGGUAGUGGCUCACAAGGGGGUUGAGGGUUAGCCCGCCUGAGGGGGGGACCGGCCACAUUGGGACUGAGAUACGGCCCAGACCCCUACGGGAGGCAGCAGUGGGGAAUAUUGCACAAUGGGCGGACGCCUGAUGCAGCAACGCCGCGUGCGGGAUAACGCCCUUCGUGUUGUAAACCGCUUUCGCCUGUCACGAAGCGUGAGUGACGGUACUGGGUAAAGAAGCACCGGCUAACUACGUG
rnacentral:rRNA from 1 species